rnacentral:rRNA from 1 species
AACGGAAUAACUACGGCGAAAGUCGGACUAAUACCGUAUGAUAUCCUAUGCAGGCAUCUAAAUAGGAUUAAAGGUUUAGCGGUAAGGGAUGGGGAUGCGUCUGAUUAGGCAGUUGGCGGGGUAACGGCCCACCAAACCGACGAUCAGUAGGGGUUAUGAGAGGAAGGUCCCCCACAUUGGAACUGAGACACGGUCCAAACUCCUACGGGAGGCAGCAGUG